GCCGGGCAUGGUGGCGUGUGCCUGUAAUCCCAGCUACUCGGGAGGCUGAGGCAGAAGAAUCUCUUGAGCCCGGGAGGCAGAGGUUGCAGUGAGUUAAGAUUGUGCCACUGUACUUCAGCCUGGGUGACAGAGUGAGACUCUGUCUCAA
ensembl:misc_RNA Metazoa_SRP Metazoan signal recognition particle RNA